GGGGUUGUGGCUCAAUGGUAGAGCACUUGCCUCGCACGCAUGAGGCACUGGGUUUGAUCCUCAGCACCA
rnacentral:tRNA from 1 species